rnacentral:rRNA from 1 species
CAUGCUGUAAACGAUGUCAACUAGCCGUUGGGGACCUUGAGUCUUUAGUGGCGCAGCUAACGCGAUAAGUUGACCGCCUGGGGAGUACGGUCGCAAGACUAAAACUCAAAUGAAUUGACGGGGGCCCGCACAAGCGGUGGAGCAUGUGGUUUAAUUCGAUGCAACGCGAAGAACCUUACCUGGCCUUGACAUGUCUGGAAUCCUGCAGAGAUGCGGGAGUGCCUUCGGGAAUCAGAACACAGGUGC